CAGGCGUAAUACCACAACCCUUAAGUUAGCGCUUAUGGGCUAGAAGCCCCGGAGAUACCCCUGCUUCGUCAGGCAGUCUGUACCGCGUACAGCCUGAAACUCCCUAAACCUCAACAACCAGCCACUCCGGCGUGAAGGUAUCGUUCU
rnacentral:ncRNA from 1 species